CGAAAAGUGCCGCCGAAUUUCGCAGCUCUGUGAUCCCACAACGCAAGCAACAGUUGCUCUCUGCUUCCCAAACGCACCAGUGUGAAGUUAGUUGUUUUUUUUUUUAGUUUUUAGUUUAGCUACACAACUUUUGAAGGAUAAUAAUUUAUUAUAUGAUGAAUGUUUUUUUUUGAAGUUUAUUUAGUUUAAUUUGUGGCUCAAGCUAAAAUUUCAUAUAUUCAUUUAUAUAAACACUAUAUACAUAGAGAGUCAAAUUGUUUGUGUUUGGAAUUGUGUUACAAUAUUAUUAAAAAGAAAAAACAAAAACAAAUUCAAAACGGAGCCGGGUGCCAGACGCUUGACAAGAUUUAGCACCGUUAUAUAAUACAUACAUAUUGUAUGUACAGACAGAGACAGAGAGAGCGAAAGAAAAUACUUUACAAAUCAUGUGUAUCAUGUUUUAAGAGCUUCGCAUACAUCACUUUUCUUCACCUCUGCUCUCUUCUUUUUUUAAUCUUCCUCUAUACUCACUUAUCCGCUUUGAGUUGCAUAUUCUUGGCUUGGCUUGGCUUUGUAUAAACGUAACGGCUCUUUCACACGAAACGAAACGAACAAAAAUACGAAAACGAAGAACCAACCGAAGGGGAAAUCAAACAUUUGUGUAUGUGUGUGAACAUUUUGAAGUUGAAAACAUAGAUUAAUUUAAAUCAACGGUACUUUUUACACUGGUGGCCCACAACACAGUCAGGCCCCAAGAAAAAAUCAAAAAGGAAA